AGUGAACGCUGGCGAUAGGCCUAACACAUGCAAGUCGAACGGCAGCACAGUAAGAGCUUGCUCUUACGGGUGGCGAGUGGCGGACGGGUGAGGAAUACAUCGGAAUCUACUUUUUCGUGGGGGAUAACGUAGGGAAACUUACGCUAAUACCGCAUACGACCUACGGGUGAAAGCAGGGGAUCUUCGGACCUUGCGCGAUUGAAUGAGCCGAUGUCGGAUUAGCUAGUUGGCGGGGUAAAGGCCCACCAAGGCGACGAUCCGUAGCUGGUCUGAGAGGAUGAUCAGCCACACUGGAACUGAGACACGGUCCAGACUCCUACGGGAGGCAGCAGUGGGGAAUAUUGGACAAUGGGCGAAAGCCUGAUCCAGCCAUACCGCGUGGGUGAAGAAGGCCUUCGGGUUGUAAAGCCCUUUUGUUGGGAAAGAAAAGCAGCAGGUUAAUACCCCGCUGUUCUGACGGUACCAAAAGAAUAAGCACCGGCUAACUUCGUG
rnacentral:rRNA from 1 species